UACGUAGGGCGCAAGCGUUGUCCGGAAUUAUUGGGCGUAAAGAGCUCGUAGGCGGUCUGUCGCGUCGGUCGUGAAAACUUGGGGCUUAACCCUGAGCUUGCGGUCGAUACGGGCAUGACUGGAGUUCGGCAGGGGAGACUGGAAUUCCUGGUGUAGCGGUGAAAUGCGCAGAUAUCAGGAAGAACACCAACGGCGAAGGCAGCUCGCUGGGACGGUACUGACGCUGAGACGCGAAAGCGUGGGGAGCGAACAGG
rnacentral:rRNA from 1 species